CUGAACAAGAAUCUCAUUUACAACACUCCUAACGUUUGGAGAGCAACCCGACCUCAUUCACUAAGUCCCAAGCCAGCCUGUUCUACGGAUAUGCAUUCUGCCCCCUACCUUAGCCCAUUGCUCUUGGCAACAUCCUCCAUGGCCAAAUGAAACAAAGGAAUGUUGGCUCUAACGUUCGAGGUCAAGGACAGAAACUUGUGACUCCAAUAAAAACCGUUAUACAGGUUGACAUUAAUCCAUGAAUCACUCCUGAUUGGGGGAUGGUGAAAGGUUUGAAUGAGAUCUCGUGUGAGGGAAGUACAGUUUGAUCUAGAACACGAAUGAUUUGUGGGAGAAUGGAAGUAACUCGGAUCGUGAGGAGGAGAAAGGUCGAUCGAGCUAGAGCGGAAUGAUCUGAAAGACGUGAACUAAGAGGAGGUGAAGGAUAUUGGAGGUGACAAUGACCUUGUGACUUUCAAAAGGGCAAGAGAGGAAACCACUGGGAAGCCUGGAAGCAGAGUUCAUGCUGGAUUUUGCAGAGAGCCAGUCCAGCAUCUUAGGUCCUGAGAAGCAGCUGAGAUGUGGCCUCAUCUAAGAGUGGGACCAAAGCUAUGUAGAGAUUUGAACUGAGCCCACCCUUCUCAGGCAUCAAGAUGUUAUUGGGGAGAGCAAACUCCCUAACUGGUAGAGAAGAGAAAUGCUGAUACUCUUGUACUUGCUAUAUCUUUUAAGUAAAUAUUACUUUGUAAGAACUAA